UACGAAGGGGGCUAGCGUUGCUCGGAAUCAUUGGGCGUAAAGGGCGCGUAGGUGGCCCGGUCAGUCCGUGGUGAAAGCGCGGGGCUCAACCCCGCGUCGGCCAUGGAUACUGCUGGGCUUGAGCACUGUAGAGGCAGGCGGAAUUCCGGGUGUAGCGGUGGAAUGCGUAGAGAUCCGGAAGAACACCGGUGGCGAAGGCGGCCUGCUGGGCAGUAGCUGACACUGAGGCGCGACAGCGUGGGGAGCAAACAGG
rnacentral:rRNA from 1 species